UAAUUGAAUAGCUUCCAGCUGGUUCAAUCCUUGCUCAAAGGGGCACCUUUCUGUUGGACGUUGGUGGAGUUUCAUCGUUUAACAGCCCGGUGCUGUUUGUGCAUCGGAUCGUUUUCAGUUAGGGGUUGUUUUGUGCAUCCGAACAGCAGCGGUUCUGCCCGCCCCUGUGUGCACAGCCCAGGGCUGUGCCUGCUUGUAGCAGCCGUGCAGUCACUGUUCAUCCUCAGCUGCUGCAGCACUGAGCCCUGCCCCGUGCCUUCUGCUCCAUCUCAAACAAAAACCAUAAAAGCAAACGAGGAAAAAGCCAAUUAUUUAAGAAGGUAAAAUCCCUGCUGCCUCUGCUCUGGGCUGCCGCCUCAUUUCUUCACUUCUGUUUGUAGAAAUAAAUGUUUCCGAGGGGGCCAAAAGCAAACAGCUUUCUUCAGAGCCACUGAGGGUUGUGGAGAUGAGUGGCUACAGCUGUAGGGGAGUUUCUCUGCCCCGCUCGCGCCUCUAACGCGAGCUCUUUAACCUCCAGCGCCGCCGCCUCUUCCCUCCAUCUCUUCCAUUCGCUGUGAGCAGCGCCUUCGGGCUCCUCCGUGGGUCGGGGGCCGAACUCUCCCCGCAGCUCCGUGCGGGUGGGGCCGGGGCGCUCCUCCUCUGCAGCGGAGAGGGAAAGGGAAAGCGAAAGGGAAAGAGCGGGCGAUGUCCCCGCAGCGGGACCGGGGCAGGCGGCACACGCAGCCCGCAGCGAGGGGAAGCAUGUGAUCAUCGCCAGGAGGUGCACAGGGAGAGGUCCCACCAGGACACCCCUCCUCCCAGGGGUGCAGCGGUUGAUUACGGGGUCCUGUGACAGCUCCACAUCCACAGUGACCAAGGACCCACGGGGACGGUGGUCCUGGAGGUGGCUGGUGACUGCAGACUGCUGGAAUGCUCCAUGCCUGGAUGAGACGUGUGAGGGUGCUGGGGAUGCUGGUGGCUGUGGGUUUCCUACUGAGCCCGGAUCAUCGCAGCCAAGGCAGGCCAGGUUGGACGGGGCCUUGGGCAACCUGAGCUGGAUUUCAGCCUCCGGAUUUCAGCUCCCAAAAUGUGCCAAGCGUGAGCCUUCAGCAAGAGCUUCAUCCACCCAACACAUGCUGGACUAAUUCAUCCCAACCCCUCUCUGCAGGAGUUUUGCCUUCACAGAAGCAGCCGGUGCAUUAGAAGUUGGUUUUGGAAUGCACUCACAGUGCCAACAGCCAUAGUGACCGUCCUGCUGAGCAGGGGGGGGGUCUGCAAUGGGGAUGGAGCCCAAACCGUGGCCUUGGGACCCCAGCUGAGUUUCCCUGCUGCCAGCUGGGGGAUGGGGGCAUCAGGAACAGGACACAUCUAGGAACAGGAGCAGGCGUUGCCUCGCUUACCCUGGGGCUUUAAAGGCCAGGCUCACCCCCAGCAAGGUCCUCAGUUAGCUGCCCAGCUCCUUAUAAAGUCAGAUUUGUCAUCUCAAAAUACAGUUUGCUGUAGAACAGAGAAUAUUUAGGAGGGAUUUGGUGAGUAACAUCUGCUGCUGUACUGAAAAUUCAAAGUGUUAAAAACUUAAAAAAAAAAAAGAGGUUUGGGUAAAAAUAAAAGGCCUUUGGAGAGGUCUCCUCGGCAGGAUCCUUUUCUCCCUGUGCACACAGCA